rnacentral:rRNA from 1 species
GAUGAACGCUGGCGGCGUGCCUAAUACAUGCAAGUCGAGCGAACAGACGAGGAGCUUGCUCCUCUGACGUUAGCGGCGGACGGGUGAGUAACACGUGGAUAACCUACCUAUAAGACUGGGAUAACCUCGGGAAACCGGAGCUAAUACCGGAUAAUAUAUUGAACCGCAUGGUUCAAUAGUGAAAGACGGUUUUGCUGUCACUUAUAGAUGGAUCCGCGCCGCAUUAGCUAGUUGGUAAGGUAACGGCUUACCAAGGCAACGAUGCGUAGCCGACCUGAGAGGGUGAUCGGCCACACUGGAACUGGGACACGGUCCAGACUCCUACGGGAGGCAGCAGUAGGGAAUCUGCCGCAAUGGGCGAAAGCCUGACGGAGCAACGCCGCGUGAGUGAUGAAGGUCUUCGGAUCGUAAAACUCUGUUAUUAGGGAAGAACAAAUGUGUAAGUAACUAUGCACGUCUUGACGGUACCUAAUCAGAAAGCCACGGCUAACUACGUG